rnacentral:rRNA from 1 species
UCCUACGGGAGGCAGCAGUAGGGAAUCUUCGGCAAUGGGGGCAACCCUGACCGAGCAACGCCGCGUGAGUGAAGAAGGUUUUCGGAUCGUAAAGCUCUGUUGUAAGAGAAGAACGUGUGUGAGAGUGGAAAGUUCACACAGUGACGGUAACUUACCAGAAAGGGACGGCUAACUACGUGCCAGCAGCCGCGGUAAUACGUAGGUCCCGAGCGUUGUCCGGAUUUAUUGGGCGUAAAGCGAGCGCAGGCGGUUUAAUAAGUCUGAAGUUAAAGGCAGUGGCUUAACCAUUGUUCGCUUUGGAAACUGUUAGACUUGAGUGCAGAAGGGGAGAGUGGAAUUCCAUGUGUAGCGGUGAAAUGCGUAGAUAUAUGGAGGAACACCGGUGGCGAAAGCGGCUCUCUGGUCUGUAACUGACGCUGAGGCUCGAAAGCGUGGGGAGCAAACAGGAUUAGAUACCCUGGUAGUCC